GCUUAUAUAAAAACUUAUUUCUGUUUUUUUUGGCUUGUUAGCUGUACAUCUUGUCACACAGCAGCUUUUAGGCAUUAUUCAGUUUUUUGUUAUAAGCCAGAAAUGACAAGGAGACGGCCUCUCGCAAUACAAAGUCAAUGGAGACGGUUGGAUUGUUCCCCCCGGCGGGCAUGGUUUUCAAAUUUGCAUAACUGUGCUCUGUCACUAUGUUUACAUCAUGAAAAAAUACAAUUAACUUAUGUAAGUAGUAAAUAUUUUUCUGUGACACAUGAUGAUUCUUUUACAGUUAAAGUGCCGUUACAUUUCUGUACUUAGCCAGUGGCUAACUAUAAAUGAUAACACUUGUGUAUUACAUAAUAAUAGUAUAGCAUUUUGAUAUAAUGUCUGUUGAUACUGUAGCCUACUGAAAUGGAACAUACACAUAUUUAAGCACAUAUUGUCCACCCAAUUCUUUUUCUUUCCGUAAUUUGUUGCAGUAUGAUCUACUUAUGAUGUUCGUAUUCCUAACAUAUUGGUGUAAUAAUUUCUAUUGACUGUAUAAAGUUAAACAUUAUAUUUCUCACGAUUCUAUUCAGACUGACUGUAUAUGAUUAUAGACAUAGCAAAUUGAUUGGUCAGUGUUAAUUUCUCUCUAGAUUGUAUAAAAUUAAUCUGCACAUUGACUCGGAUAUUCAGUGAUGGUUUAUUCUUCUUUCUUUUUCACUUUAGAAAACAGUCUUUGCUAUGUAAGUAUUCUUUUUGAUUUACACUUUCCAACUUGUCACACACCUAUAUAAUAUAUAAGAGUUUUUGGUGAUUUGUUUCUUCUUUUUGUGAUUUAAUUUUUUCUUCCUUUUUUUUCUCUUAACAGUAUAACACAAACCAUAUAAGCGAACCCAAAGGCUCUUUUAAGAGCCAUCUGGAAUCACAGGUAAGUACAUAUUUGUUGCUGUCAUUCAAGUUAUUUUAGAUUCAAACAUGCCCUGCUCAUCCAUUCAGACGAGGCAUUCUGCUGUUUUCAUGCAGUUUAUUUUUAUUAUGGAACAUAUUAUUAUUUAAUUUUUUGCCAAACCCAGAGCUAUAACUAAAUAUUCCAAAAUUAUUGGGAGUAUUGGGACUUGAUAUUAACCUGAAUUAAUCCUUAUACAUUUAUCUAAAGUCUGUUUAUUGAAAUGAAUAAUAUUUGCAUUGUGUUUUUACAUUGUUAUGAUUAUUUCAUUUCUUUAUUAUACCUUUUUUCUUUUGUUUGCAGUCUUGGUCAUCUCUGGAGAAGCUCACUAUUGUUGGUCAUCUCUGGAGAAGCUCACUAUUAGAUUGGACAUCUUGUCCAUCCAGUGUUGGUCAUCCCUGGAGAAGCUUACUAUUAGAUUGGAAGUCUUGUUCAUCUAGGUAAGUAUAAUUGUUAAACAGAGGUUUUUACAACAUGAAAAAAUAUACAUUGAAAAAUGGGAAUGUUGAUUAAUAAGAUUAAAAAAAGAAAAUUCCAUCUUCAUUAAUACCAAAAAUGUAAGUUACUUAUUGAUGUAUUCAAAAUGAUUAUUGAUUCAUGCAGUGGCAAUUGUUCUUAUUUGCAUUUAAUUCCUGUACUUAAAUAUAAGCGUGUUUGUCUGUAUUAACAAUGUAACUAACUUGUUUUUUUUGUGUGUGUGUGUGUUUGUUUGUAUCUAUCCUGUCCUGUCUUAUCAACACCUUUUAUCCAUUUGCACUCAAACCUUUACUCUGCUUAUUUGCUUAAACCUUUGCCAUUUCUUCACUUUCUCUUCCCAAACUGAAAAAAAAUCUGGCCUUGCAUCCCCAAACGCCGCUGCUCUGCUUGCUGCUUGCUUGCUAUGCAACCCAAACGCAACCAAUCUGCAAUCUCCUCAUGCAAAACAAACCCAAACGCACUGAAGCAGCUUGCUAACGCACCUUAAAAAAAAACGAGCCAGAAACCCAAACUUUGAACCCAAAAACCAAACCCAAACUUUGAACCCAAAAACCAAACCCAAACUUUAAACCCAAUAACCACCCACAAAUAAAUAAAGAAUUGAUUUACAGUGCCGGACAGCCUGAAAGAGGAACCAGCUCCAGUCUGCCCUGCUGCCUUCCUGAUCUGAGGACGAUCAAUCAACAUCCAUCCAAACACACACACACACACACACACACACAUUUGUUUGAUAACCAACUGUUAUCCAAAUUGUCCAAAUUGUCUAUCUUUUGGGUGUCAUUCAGGGCCGGAGUGGGACUCAUUUUCAGCCCUGGAGUUUCAUGCCUUAGACCGGCCCACUUUAGUUCACGACUGACUAUUAAAAUAAUAUCUUUAAACCCUCAGUAGUAUAAGUCUGCAGUAGUGCACUGUUCUCUGCAGCCUUGCAAUUCACUGUAUUUUUCAAUAAUUUCAUAUUCCGUGCAAAUGCAGUAAACAAUUAUAAUUUUUGCCAUAAUCAUGCAGACCUACCAUAGGACCAUAAUAUUACUAAAUUAAACUUAUUCAAAAACUAAAGGAAACAAAUGUGUUUGUGUUUUCCCCUAUAUUUCUAUUUCUAAAAAAUGGUGAGUCUUGAGAUUAACUGUUGGGUUGAUAACGUUUGGAAACCCCUGAUAUACAAUACACAAGCAAGAUUUAUUAAGUAUGCAUUGGAAACAAAUGGAAGAAAGUCUUUUAGUACUUAGAUCAUGUCUAUUGCUAAAUAACGUAGGCUAAGGUAGGCCUACAUUGUGUUAAAAAAAAGAAACAUCAUGGAUAUACUUUUGAAACUACUUUUUUCAAAUAAACUGAGUUUUGCAUUAAAUAGAUUUUUGUUCCUCUCGCAAUAAACGAUGAAUAAUGACUAUUCAUAGAAUAUUCAUCUAUGACUUGGAUAAAAAAAUACGUUUUGUAAAUUCUUUUCCUUUUAGAGGCCAGCCCGUUUGUAUUAAGACACGCUCAAGUUUAUUUAAAAUAUAAUAGACGCGCGGCCGGCAAGCGCACUCAAAAGACGCGCUCAAGUUUAUUUAAAAUAUAGACGCGUGUCCGGGGAGCGCACUCAAAAGACGCGCUCAAGUUUAUUUAAAAUAUAGACGCGUGGCCGGCAAGCGCACUCAAAAGACGCGCUCAAGUUUAUUUUAAAUAUAGAUGCGCGGCCGGCAAGCGCACUCAAUAUAGACGCGUCUGAAACAAAACUCGUUUUCAAGUAAGCGCUUUGAAAACCAGAAGACAGCGGCACGUCCUGCGUUUCCCAUGCGUUUUAGAUGUCAAUGAACCCUAAUGCAAGAAUUCUUCCAAUAAGUGGUCGGGACUCGGGACACAAUCAACUUGUGCAUAAAGCGGCGGGGACAUCUCUCACCCGCAAAUACGCGUCAUCCCGGUGGCAUGACAACACCGGCCCUCGUGGCCAAAAAAAACAGACCGGCCCACCGGGAAUCCUCCCGGUUCUCCCUAUGGCCAAUCCGGGCCUGGUGUCAUUUCAUACACUAGUCUUAUAUUGUUUAGUGAUAUUGGUGGUUAGUAUUUUGUGAAUAACAUUUAACCUAACUUACAGUUUAUACUUUGAGCUAUAUCUGGUUUAGCAUUGCAUUAGUUAAGUUUCUGUUUUCUUUUGUAUAUCACAUUUAACUAUCUGUUACAUUAGCUUUACAUUACAUCGUGUUCAUUUUCUGUAGUCUUAUUACAUAUUUAACUUUUGUAUAAUUGACUGCUUUAAAUCGUCUUUGGUAUCAGUAAAGCCCAGUUUCUGUUCAGUAAGUUAAGUCUAAUAACAUCUAUAUUUUAUAGUUGAUUUCACAAUUGUCUAUCUUUUGGGUGUCAUUUCAUACACUAGUCUUAUAUUGUUUAGUGAUAUUGGUGGUUAGUAUUUUGUGAAUAACAUUUAACCUAACUUACAGUUUAUACUUUGAGCUAUAUCUGGUUUAGCAUUGCAUUAGUUAAGUUUCUGUUUUCUUUUGUAUAUCACAUUUAACUAUCUGUUACAUUAGCUUUACAUUACAUUGUGUUCAUUUUCUGUAGUCUUAUUACAUAUUUAACUUUUGUAUAAUUGACUGCUUUAAAUCGUCUUUGGUAUCAGUAAAGCCCAGUUUCUAUUCAGUAAGUUAAGUCUAAUACCAUCUAAAUUUUAUAGUUGAUUUCACAAUUGUCUAUCUUUUGGGUGUCAUUUCAUACACUAGUCUUAUAUUGUUUAGUGAUAUUGGUGGUUAGUAUUUUGUGAAUAACAUUUAACCUAACUUACAGUUCAUACUUUGAGCAAUAUCUGGUUUAGCAUUGCAUUAGUUGAGUUUCUGUUUUCUUUUAUAUCACAUUUAACUAUCUGUUACAUUACAGACAGUAGAUUUUUUUGUUCAAUUUUCUAUAUUAGUAAAAUAUUUUUAGAUAAAUUGUUAAUACUUAUACAAGUUUCUGUUUUAUAUUUACUGUACAAUAUAUUCAUUGUUAGGUACAGUCAUAUGUUCCUUAUCAUAGAUUAAUUACAUAUUGUGUAAUAUUUCAUUCAAUAAAUACUAAACUAUA